rnacentral:rRNA from 1 species
GUGGGGAAUAUUGGACAAUGGGCGAAAGCCUGAUCCAGCCAUGCCGCGUGUGUGAAGAAGGUCUUCGGAUUGUAAAGCACUUUAAGUUGGGAGGAAGGGCAGUAAGUUAAUACCUUGCUGUUUUGACGUUACCAACAGAAUAAGCACCGGCUAACUUCGUGCCAGCAGCCGCGGUAAUACGAAGGGUGCAAGCGUUAAUCGGAAUUACUGGGCGUAAAGCGCGCGUAGGUGGUUCAGCAAGUUGGAUGUGAAAUCCCCGGGCUCAACCUGGGAACUGCAUCCAAAACUACUGAGCUAGAGUACGGUAGAGGGUGGUGGAAUUUCCUGUGUAGCGGUGAAAUGCGUAGAUAUAGGAAGGAACACCAGUGGCGAAGGCGACCACCUGGACUGAUACUGACACUGAGGUGCGAAAGCGUGGGGAGCAAACAGGAUUAGAAACCCUAGUAGUCC